rnacentral:rRNA from 1 species
UACGUAGGGCGCAAGCGUUGUCCGGAAUUAUUGGGCGUAAAGAGCGCGUAGGCGGCUUGUCACGUCGGGUGUGAAAGCCCGGGGCUUAACCCCGGGUCUGCAUUCGAUACGGGCUAGCUAGAGUGUGGUAGGGGAGAUCGGAAUUCCUGGUGUAGCGGUGAAAUGCGCAGAUAUCAGGAGGAACGCCGGUGGCGAAGGCGGAUCUCUGGGCCAUUACUGACGCUGAGGAGCGAAAGCGUGGGGAGCGAACAGG